UGACUAAGCACAUAUAAAUUUGAAAAGGGUACAAAGCCACAAAUUUUGCUUUCAUUCAGAAGGAAGAAAAAAAGGUGAGGGUCAAGGUCUAAAAACUUAAUGCAAAGUGAGUCUUGAAUGCAACACUUGCUAUCACUUACCCUUGAUGCAGUUACAUUUUCAAAUCACUGAUAUUAUUGUCCCUCAUUAUUAUAUUUGCUUCAUAUUCUGCCUCAAUAACCCAUGGCUGAAACAAAACAUGAGAUAUUCAAAUCACCCUAUUAGCCUAAAGAAAUCUUCGUGGUAUUCAAACAGGCCCCGGUUAUUGAACCAAUGAAGGGCAAAGAGUUAAAGGUUUAAGAUUCAAUUGUAGUUGAAUCGGAGUUUAACUAAUAUACUAUUAAAUA
rnacentral:misc_RNA from 1 species